GGUUAAGCGACUAAGCGUACACGGUGGAUGCCCUGGCAGUCAGAGGCGAUGAAGGACGUGCUAAUCUGCGAUAAGCGUCGGUAAGGUGAUAUGAACCGUUAUAACCGGCGAUUUCCGAAUGGGGAAACCCAGUGUGAUUCGUCACACUAUCAUUAACUGAAUCCAUAGGUUAAUGAGGCGAACCGGGGGAACUGAAACAUCUAAGUACCCCGAGGAAAAGAAAUCAACCGAGAUUCCCCCAGUAGCGGCGAGCGAACGGGGAGCAGCCCAGAGCCUGAAUCAGUGUGUGUGUUAGUGGAAGCGUCUGGAAAGGCGCGCGAUACAGGGUGACAGCCCCGUACACAAAAAUGCACAUGCUGUGAGCUCGAUGAGUAGGGCGGGACACGUGGUAUCCUGUCUGAAUAUGGGGGGACCAUCCUCCAAGGCUAAAUACUCCUGACUGACCGAUAGUGAACCAGUACCGUGAGGGAAAGGCGAAAAGAACCCCGGCGAGGGGAGUGAAAAAGAACCUGAAACCGUGUACGUACAAGCAGUGGGAGCACAGAGCAAUCUGUGUGACUGCGUACCUUUUGUAUAAUGGGUCAGCGACUUAUAUUCUGUAGCAAGGUUAACCGAAUAGGGGAGCCGAAGGGAAACCGAGUCUUAACUGGGCGUUAAGUUGCAGGGUAUAGACCCGAAACCCGGUGAUCUAGCCAUGGGCAGGUUGAAGGUUGGGUAACACUAACUGGAGGACCGAACCGACUAAUGUUGAAAAAUUAGCGGAUGACUUGUGGCUGGGGGUGAAAGGCCAAUCAAACCGGGAGAUAGCUGGUUCUCCCCGAAAGCUAUUUAGGUAGCGCCUCGUGAAUUCAUCUCCGGGGGUAGAGCACUGUUUCGGCAAGGGGGUCAUCCCGACUUACCAACCCGAUGCAAACUGCGAAUACCGGAGAAUGUUAUCACGGGAGACACACGGCGGGUGCUAACGUCCGUCGUGAAGAGGGAAACAACCCAGACCGCCAGCUAAGGUCCCAAAGUCAUGGUUAAGUGGGAAACGAUGUGGGAAGGCCCAGACAGCCAGGAUGUUGGCUUAGAAGCAGCCAUCAUUUAAAGAAAGCGUAAUAGCUCACUGGUCGAGUCGGCCUGCGCGGAAGAUGUAACGGGGCUAAACCAUGCACCGAAGCUGCGGCAGCGACGCUUAUGCGUUGUUGGGUAGGGGAGCGUUCUGUAAGCCUGCGAAGGUGUGCUGUGAGGCAUGCUGGAGGUAUCAGAAGUGCGAAUGCUGACAUAAGUAACGAUAAAGCGGGUGAAAAGCCCGCUCGCCGGAAGACCAAGGGUUCCUGUCCAACGUUAAUCGGGGCAGGGUGAGUCGACCCCUAAGGCGAGGCCGAAAGGCGUAGUCGAUGGGAAACAGGUUAAUAUUCCUGUACUUGGUGUUACUGCGAAGGGGGGACGGAGAAGGCUAUGUUGGCCGGGCGACGGUUGUCCCGGUUUAAGCGUGUAGGCUGGUUUUCCAGGCAAAUCCGGAAAACUAAGGCUGAGGCGUGAUGACGAGGCACUACGGUGCUGAAGCAACAAAUGCCCUGCUUCCAGGAAAAGCCUCUAAGCAUCAGGUAACAUCAAAUCGUACCCCAAACCGACACAGGUGGUCAGGUAGAGAAUACCAAGGCGCUUGAGAGAACUCGGGUGAAGGAACUAGGCAAAAUGGUGCCGUAACUUCGGGAGAAGGCACGCUGAUAUGUAGGUGAAGUCCCUCGCGGAUGGAGCUGAAAUCAGUCGAAGAUACCAGCUGGCUGCAACUGUUUAUUAAAAACACAGCACUGUGCAAACACGAAAGUGGACGUAUACGGUGUGACGCCUGCCCGGUGCCGGAAGGUUAAUUGAUGGGGUCAGCGCAAGCGAAGCUCUUGAUCGAAGCCCCGGUAAACGGCGGCCGUAACUAUAACGGUCCUAAGGUAGCGAAAUUCCUUGUCGGGUAAGUUCCGACCUGCACGAAUGGCGUAAUGAUGGCCAGGCUGUCUCCACCCGAGACUCAGUGAAAUUGAACUCGCUGUGAAGAUGCAGUGUACCCGCGGCAAGACGGAAAGACCCCGUGAACCUUUACUAUAGCUUGACACUGAACAUUGAGCCUUGAUGUGUAGGAUAGGUGGGAGGCUUGGAAGUGUGGACGCCAGUCUGCAUGGAGCCGACCUUGAAAUACCACCCUUUAAUGUUUGAUGUUCUAACGUUGACCCGUAAUCCGGGUUGCGGACAGUGUCUGGUGGGUAGUUUGACUGGGGCGGUCUCCUCCUAAAGAGUAACGGAGGAGCACGAAGGUUGGCUAAUCCUGGUCGGACAUCAGGAGGUUAGUGCAAUGGCAUAAGCCAGCUUGACUGCGAGCGUGACGGCGCGAGCAGGUGCGAAAGCAGGUCAUAGUGAUCCGGUGGUUCUGAAUGGAAGGGCCAUCGCUCAACGGAUAAAAGGUACUCCGGGGAUAACAGGCUGAUACCGCCCAAGAGUUCAUAUCGACGGCGGUGUUUGGCACCUCGAUGUCGGCUCAUCACAUCCUGGGGCUGAAGUAGGUCCCAAGGGUAUGGCUGUUCGCCAUUUAAAGUGGUACGCGAGCUGGGUUUAGAACGUCGUGAGACAGUUCGGUCCCUAUCUGCCGUGGGCGCUGGAGAACUGAGGGGGGCUGCUCCUAGUACGAGAGGACCGGAGUGGACGCAUCACUGGUGUUCGGGUUGUCAUGCCAAUGGCACUGCCCGGUAGCUAAAUGCGGAAGAGAUAAGUGCUGAAAGCAUCUAAGCACGAAACUUGCCCCGAGAUGAGUUCUCCCUGACUCCUUGAGAGUCCUGAAGGAACGUUGAAGACGACGACGUUGAUAGGCCGGGUGUGUAAGCGCAGCGAUGCGUUGAGCUAACCGGUACUAAUGAACCGUGAGGCUUAACCUU
rnacentral:rRNA from 1 species